rnacentral:tRNA from 1 species
AUCUGUAGUUCAAUGGUAGAACACCAGCUUCCCAAGCUGGCUACACGGGUUCGAUUCCCGCCAGGU